GAUGAACGCUGGCGGCGUGCCUAACACAUGCAAGUCGAACGGAGAUUACGGACGGAAGUUUUCGGAUGGAAGACUGUAAUUCUUAGUGGCGGACGGGUGAGUAACGCGUGGGCAACCUGCCCUAUACAGGGGGAUAGCAGCUGGAAACGGCUGGUAAGACCGCAUAAGUCGGUUAAAUCGCAUGAUUUGAUCGGGAAAUGAGCAAUCAGGUAUAGGAUGGGCCCGCGUCCGAUUAGCCAGUUGGCAGGGUAAAAGCCUACCAAAGCGACGAUCGGUAGCCGGACUGAGAGGUCGGACGGCCACAUUGGGACUGAGACACGGCCCAAACUCCUACGGGAGGCAGCAGUGGGGGAUAUUGCACAAUGGAGGAAACUCUGAUGCAGCGACGCCGCGUGAGUGAAGAAGUAUUUCGGUAUGUAAAGCUCUAUCAGCAGGGAAGAUGAUGACGGUACCUGACUAAGAAGCCCCGGCUAACUACGU
rnacentral:rRNA from 1 species